UUAUUUUCAGGUGACAGAAAUAUUCAGUGGCUACCAGUGAAUCCUUAGUUAAAAGGACUGUGUUUCAAAGAAGGAGUUCAAUGGAAAUCAGGGAAAGAAAAUUCAGUUGUGGAAGAAUCAACAGGGGAAGUCGCAACAGAUAGCCUCUGCAUGACAAGCCUCAGAAAAUUGCCAGGCAUGAGAAAUGUUAAAGAGGAGAGGCACCAUUCAGUGGCACUGCUCUUAUAGAUACUGAAUCUACACACUGUAAAAUAUCACCCUCUGCUGGAUAUCUGAAAAAUAUCUCUACACCACCUUGAACUGUACAUGUAAUUUUAAAAACUUGUUCGGCUGUUCUU